UACGGAGGGUGCGAGCGUUGUCCGGAAUCAUUGGGCGUAAAGGGCGCGUAGGUGGCCCGGUCAGUUCGUGGUGAAAGCGCGGGGCUCAACCCUGCGUCGGCCAUGAAUACUGCCGCGGCUGGAGCACUGUAGAGGCAGGCGGAAUUCCUGGUGUAGCGGUGAAAUGCGCAGAUAUCAGGAGGAACACCGGUGGCGAAGGCGGGUCUCUGGGCCGAAACUGACGCUGAGGAGCGAAAGCGUGGUGAGCGAACAGG
rnacentral:rRNA from 1 species